rnacentral:rRNA from 1 species
AUACGUAGGGGGCAAGCGUUGUCCGGAAUCAUUGGGCGUAAAGGGCGCGUAGGCGGACAUAUAAGUCUGAUGUGAAAGUGCGGGGCUUAACCCCGUAAAGCAUUGGAAACUGUGUGUCUUGAGGACAGGAGAGGAAAGUGGAAUUCCUAGUGUAGCGGUGAAAUGCGUAGAUAUUAGGAGGAACACCAGUGGCGAAGGCGACUUUCUGGACUGUAACUGACGCUGAGGCGCGAAAGCGUGGGUAGCGAACAGGAUUAGAUACCCUGGUAGUCCACGCCGUAAACGAUGAAUGCCAGGUGUAGAGGGUAUCGACCCCUUCUGUGCCGCAGUAAACACAAUAAGCAUUCCGCCUGGGGACUACGGCCGCAAGGCUAAA